rnacentral:rRNA from 1 species
ACCCUAUAGAGAUAAAUUAUGAAUUUUAUUUUUAAGUGAAAAAGCUUAAAUAAUUUUAAAAGACGAGAAGACCCUAUAGAGUUUAACAUUAAAUUUAUAAUAAAUAAUUAGUAUUUUUUGUUAUUAUAAAUAUUUUUGUUUAGCUGGGGUGGCUUUAAAAUUGAUUUAACUUUUAUUUUAAUAAACACUUAUUUGUGAUUAUUUGAUCCAUAUUUUUGAUUAUAAGAUUUAAUUACCUUAGGGAUAACAG